AUUGAACGCUGGCGGCAUGCUUUACACAUGCAAGUCGAACGGUAACAGGCCGCAAGGUUCUGACGAGUGGCGUACGGGAGUGUAAUGCAUCGGAACGUGCCCAGUCGUGGGGGCUACCUACUCGGGAGAGUAGCUAAUACCCCAGACGAUCUAUGGAUGAAAGCGGGGGAGCGUAAGGCGUCGCGGGAUUGGAGCUGCUGAUGGCAGAGUAUGUAGUUGGUGGGGUACAGGCUCACCAAGCCAACGAUCUGUAGCGGGGCUGAGACGACGACCCGGCACACUGGAACUGAGAUACGGCCCAGACUCCUACGCGAGGCAGCAGUGGGGAAUUUAGGACAAUGGGCGGAAGCGUGGUCCAGCGAUGCCGCGUGCAGGAAGAAGGCCUGCGGGUCGUGAACUGAUUUUGUACGGAACGAAACGGCGCUGGUUAAUACCCGGGGCUAAGGAGGGUACCGUAAGAAUAAGCACCGGCUAACUACGU
rnacentral:rRNA from 1 species